CCUACGGGUGGCAGCAGUGGGGAAUAUUGGACAAUGGGGGGAACCCUGAUCCAGCCAUGCCGCGUGUGUGAAGAAGGCCCUCGGGUUGUAAAGCACUUUCAGUGAGGAAGAACGCCUGGUGGUUAAUACCCAUCAGGAAAGACAUCACUCACAGAAGAAGCACCGGCUAACUCCGUGCCAGCAGCCGCGGUAAUACGGAGGGUGCGAGCGUUAAUCGGAAUUACUGGGCGUAAAGCGCGCGUAGGUGGCUUGAUAAGCCGGUUGUGAAAGCCCCGGGCUCAACCUGGGAACGGCAUCCGGAACUGUCGAGCUAGAGUGCAGGCGAGGAAGGUAGAAUUCCCGGUGUAGCGGUGAAAUGCGUAGAGAUCGGGAGGAAUACCAGUGGCGAAGGCGGCCUUCUGGACUGACACUGACACUGAGGUGCGAAAGCGUGGGUAGCAAACAGGAUUAGAUACCCCAGUAGUC
rnacentral:rRNA from 1 species